rnacentral:tRNA from 1 species
AGGGAUGUAGUUCAGAUGGAAGGGUGCUCGCUUAGCAUGCGAGAGGUACGGGGAUCGAUUCCCUGCGCCUCCA